rnacentral:lncRNA from 1 species
AAUGAGGACUGCAUUUCUGUUUUUUUUUUUUUUUUUUUCAAUUAUCCUGCCUCAGCCUCCUGAGUAGCUGGGAUUACAGGCACCUGCCACUAUGCCUGGCUAUUUUUAGUAGAGACAGGGUUUCACCAUGUUGGCCAGGCUGAUCUCGAACUCCUGACCUCAAGUGAUCCACCCACCUCGGCCUCCCAAAGUGCUGGGAUUACAGGCAUGAGCCACCGUGCCCGGCUUAACUUCCUCUUUAUUACUUGGAACUAUUAGGACCCGAUGUGGUGUGGUAUUUGUUGGUUUGUAUGUCUGUCUCUCCCCCAUGGAUAUUUAUUGACUACUAUAUACCAGGCUGUAUGGCAUUUAGGGUACAGAGAUGAAAAGACAGAGCCCUUGACUUCAAAGAGCUCAUAGUCUAAUGAAUGACAGCCAAAUAAACAGGUGAUAAUAAUACAGUGAAGAGAAGAUUGUUUAAAGUUCAAGCAAAGGAUCAGUAACUCAGGUAAGUUCUCCACGUACUAGGACUGGCAGAUAUCAGUUGCCACUGAAUAUUUUCUGAAGGGUCAAAAGAAUGGCUCCCAAAUCAGCUGUCUGAUGAAAGGCAGAGCUGUCACCUGUCUCUGGCUAGCCUAGUGAAAUACCCAAUACCUGAACUUAGAUUUCUGGUCUGUAGUUUGAGAAGCCAUGUUUGGAGAGAGUUUUUAGUGCAGUCACUUUGUCCAGCAGAGUAGGAACACAGGCUUUCUGGAACGUUUAUCCUCUUUAUGUGAAUCUGGGCAGAAAUCUGUUUUUUUUUUUUUUUAAAGUAAAAUGUGGGAGCCGGUAGAGGGAUGGCAGGGGAGGCGGAUAGAGGCUGAGGAAUAAACAGGUUCCUAGCUUCAAUGCCUCCAACCAGAUGGAGCCACCCUGCAUGGGGCUGAGUUCAUUUCUAUAAACCUGUUUCUCCUACUUGCUGGGCAGAGCCGAGCAGUUGCUAUGUUGAAUGGAAGAGGGGCUGUGCCUGGGCUCAGGGUCUGUCCAGCUUGUUUUCAACUCUAAUUCUUCAACAGAGCCUCCCCAGGGCUGUACUCCUGCUCUGGGGCUUGGAACUGAGGGGAUGUCAUGAGGUAGGC